GGCGAUAGGUUUAUGCGCGGCGGUGGUGCACGGUGGUGUAGAGAUUCGACGGAGUUAGAAGGUUCGCCGGUAAUGGAGGAUUGAGCGGUGGCGGGUGAAUGACGAUGAGGAAUGUUGAGAGGUUUCGAAAGAAGAAGAUGGAAUUGCGAGUGAGAAGGGGGUGGAGACGACGACGGAAGAAGGGUUAGGUUAUUGAUGGUGAAUGGUGUAGAGCGGUGGCGGGUGAAUGACGAUGAGGAAUGUUGAGAGGUUUCGAAAGAAGAAGAUGGAAUUGCGAGUGAGAAGGGGGUGGAGACGACGACGGAAGAAGGGUUAGGUUAUUGAUGGUGAAUGGUGUGAGCUGAGUGGUGGUGUCACCUAUUGUGAGGAAGAAGAGGAAGUUUUUCUUUUCUUUAUCCUGUCAGAGAGAGUAACGU
rnacentral:lncRNA from 1 species